rnacentral:rRNA from 1 species
GAUGAACGCUGGCGGCGUGCCUAAUACAUGCAAGUCGAGCGAACAGACGAGGAGCUUGCUCCUCUGACGUUAGCGGCGGACGGGUGAGUAACACGUGGAUAACCUACCUAUAAGACUGGGAUAACUUCGGGAAACCGGAGCUAAUACCGGAUAAUAUAUUGAACCGCAUGGUUCAAUAGUGAAAGACGGUUUUGCUGUCACUUAUAGAUGGAUCCGCGCCGCAUUAGCUAGUUGGUAAGGUAACGGCUUACCAAGGCAACGAUGCGUAGCCGACCUGAGAGGGUGAUCGGCCACACUGGAACGGGGAAACGGUCCAGACUCCUACGGGAGGCAGCAGUAGGGAAUCUUCCGCAAUGGGCGAAAGCCUGACGGAGCAACGCCGCGUGAGUGAUGAAGGUCUUCGGAUCGUAAAACUCUGUUAUUAGGGAAGAACAAAUGUGUAAGUAACUAUGCACGUCUUGACGGUACCUAAUCAGAAAGCCACGGCUAACUACGUG